rnacentral:sRNA from 1 species
AAGCCAUGUAAGCCAUUUGUUUCCGAUCUUUGGCCACGGAUGUACUGGCAUCGAUCGUCGAGACAAUGAAGGAAGAGGUCGGGUUAGCCCGGCCUUUUUUGUU